rnacentral:rRNA from 1 species
ACCGACACAGGUGGUUGGGUAGAGAAUACCAAGGCGCUUGAGAGAACUCGGGUGAAGGAACUAGGCAAAAUGGCACCGUAACUUCGGGAGAAGGUGCGCCGGUGAGGGUGAAGUAUUUACUACGUAAGCCCAUGCCGGUCGAAGAUACCAGGCCGCUGCGACUGUUUAUUAAAAACACAGCACUGUGCAAACACGAAAGUGGACGUAUCGGGUGUGACGCCUGCCCGGUGCCGGA